CCCCAAACCGACACAGGUGGUCGGGUAGAGAAUACCAAGGCGCUUGAGAGAACUCGGGUGAAGGAACUAGGCAAAAUGGCACCGUAACUUCGGGAGAAGGUGCGCCGGCUAGGGUGAAGGAUUUACUCCGUAAGCUCUGGCUGGUCGAAGAUACCAGGCCGCUGCGACUGUUUAUUAAAAACACAGCACUCUGCAAACACGAAAGUGGACGUAUAGGGUGUGACGCCUGCCCGGUGCCGGAAGGUUAAUUGAUGGGGUUAGCGCAAGCGAAGCUCUUGAUCGAAGCCCCGGUAAACGGCGGCCGUAACUAUAACGGUCCUAAGGUAGCGAAAUUCCUUGUCGGGUAAGUUCCGACCUGCACGAAUGGCGUAACGAUGGCGGCGCUGUCUCCACCCGAGACUCAGUGAAAUUGAAAUCGCUGUGAAGAUGCAGUGUAUCCGCGGCUAGACGGAAAGACCCCGUGAACCUUUACUGUAGCUUUGCACUGGACUUUGAGCCUGCUUGUGUAGGAUAGGUGGGAGGCUUUGAAGCGUGGACGCCAGUUCGCGUGGAGCCAUCCUUGAAAUACCACCCUGGCAUGCUUGAGGUUCUAACUCUGGUCCGUGAUCCGGAUCGAGGACAGUGUAUGGUGGGCAGUUUGACUGGGGCGGUCUCCUCCUAAAGAGUAACGGAGGAGUACGAAGGUGCGCUCAGACCGGUCGGAAAUCGGUCGCAGAGUAUAAAGGCAAAAGCGCGCUUGACUGCGAGACAGACACGUCGAGCAGGUACGAAAGUAGGUCUUAGUGAUCCGGUGGUUCUGUAUGGAAGGGCCAUCGCUCAACGGAUAAAAGGUACUCCGGGGAUAACAGGCUGAUACCGCCCAAGAGUUCAUAUCGACGGCGGUGUUUGGCACCUCGAUGUCGGCUCAUCACAUCCUGGGGCUGAAGCCGGUCCCAAGGGUAUGGCUGUUCGCCAUUUAAAGUGGUACGCGAGCUGGGUUUAGAACGUCGUGAGACAGUUCGGUCCCUAUCUGCCGUGGACGUUUGAGAUUUGAGAGGGGCUGCUCCUAGUACGAGAGGACCGGAGUGGACGAACCUCUGGUGUUCCGGUUGUCACGCCAGUGGCAUUGCCGGGUAGCUAUGUUCGGAAAAGAUAACCGCUGAAAGCAUCUAAGCGGGAAACUUGCCUCAAGAUGAGAUCUCACUGGGAACUUGAUUCCCCUGAAGGGCCGUCGAAGACUACGACGUUGAUAGGCUGGGUGUGUAAGCGUUGUGAGGCGUUGAGCUAACCAGUACUAAUUGCCCGUGAGGCUUGACC
rnacentral:rRNA from 1 species